CUCACCUACAUCCAGGAAGUGUUGAGCUCCCCGUGGAUACCUGUCUGCGCCUGUUGUGUUCAAUAAACGUACCACAGCAGAUCGCCGGUUGAAAAAGCGGAUGCUGCUGUCACUUCCUCCUGGUCUCCAUCCUCCUCCUUGUGUGUGCAAGUUGAUUGCGUGCACUUGACUGUACCUGUCGAGCGUGCGCAUGUAUGUGUGUGAAUUCAGUCUAGGCCUGUGUAUGUGUGUAGCUGUUAGGUAGUGUAUGUGUGUGUGUGUGUGUGUAUGUGUGUGUCCACCAUGUCCGUACAUCCUUUGACAUUUCACCUGAGUCCUUUGGUGUGUCUUCACCUCCUCUGCCUGCUGCUGCUCCUCACUGACUCCUCCUCCUCCAGAGUAUCAAAAGAUGUCCCAGUUCCAGCUGCAGGUGGUAAUGAUGGUGUCAGUCAAAAUGCAACAGCCAAGGAUUCCUCAGGGUCCAUAUCCAGUGAUCUGCAAGUGGUCAGACCACAUGAGAAUGUGUCCUUUGUCUCAGACCCUAACAACACCAGUCAAACCGUCAAUGCGACUAGGGACCAGCCCUCUCCCAACUCAUCUUCAUCUGACACCAACACCUCUGCCAACCACAAAUUAAAAGCCACCAUAUCAUCCUUAAUCCCACCAGACUAUCCUCUUCCUCCUACCAUCACAGGCUCACCCACUCCAGCUCACACUGGAGCCAUCACAAGCACUGGUACUAAUACAUCAACCACUGCCAGGCCUGAUGGGAAUGUACUCACAGCCAUUGUAGUGGUGACCUCUAUAACCACAACAACAACCACAACAGCACCAUCAUCUACAACAACCACAACAGCACCAUCAUCUACAACAACCACA